UAGGGAAUCUUCGGCAAUGGGGGGAACCCUGACCGAGCAACGCCGCGUGAGUGAAGAAGGUUUUCGGAUCGUAAAGCUCUGUUGUUAAGGAAGAACGAGUGUGAGAAUGGAAAGUUCAUACUGUGACGGUACUUAACCAGAAAGGGACGGCUAACUACGUGCCAGCAGCCGCGGUAAUACGUAGGUCCCGAGCGUUGUCCGGAUUUAUUGGGCGUAAAGCGAGCGCAGGCGGUUAGAUAAGUCUGAAGUUAAAGGCAGUGGCUCAACCAUUGUAGGCUUUGGAAACUGUUUAACUUGAGGGCAGAAGGGGAGAGUGGAAUUCCAUGUGUAGCGGUGAAAUGCGUAGAUAUAUGGAGGAACACCGGUGGCGAAAGCGGCUCUCUGGUCUGUAACUGACGCUGAGGCUCGAAAGCGUGGGGAGCGAACAGG
rnacentral:rRNA from 1 species